rnacentral:lncRNA from 1 species
CCGGUGUGUGCAUAGCGUUGAGCUCCAGGGAUUCUAUCUCAACACCGACCAGGUCGAACGUGGCCACGAGAGGAGACACCGAAUCCUGGAGGAGGCCAGCAGGAUGACGGACAUGCGUGUGUUGCGGCCUUUUUGCGAUUGACGGAGGUGUGCGUGUGUAAGGUCGUGAUCAUACUUCUAAUCUGGGCCGUCAAAUCGGUAGGGCAUGUGUUGUGAGUCGUUGAUCUUGU